rnacentral:rRNA from 1 species
AGAGUUUGAUCAUGGCUCAGAUUGAACGCUGGCGGCAGGCCUAACACAUGCAAGUCGAGCGGAUGAAUGGAGCUUGCUCCAUGAUUCAGCGGCGGACGGGUGAGUAAUGCCUAGGAAUCUGCCUGGUAGUGGGGGACAACGUUUCGAAAGGAACGCUAAUACCGCAUACGUCCUACGGGAGAAAGUGGGGGAUCUUCGGACCUCACGCUAUCAGAUGAGCCUAGGUCGGAUUAGCUAGUUGGCGAGGUAAAGGCUCACCAAGGCGACGAUCCGUAACUGGUCUGAGAGGAUGAUCAGUCACACUGGAACUGAGACACGGUCCAGACUCCUACGGGAGGCAGCAGUGGGGAAUAUUGGACAAUGGGCGAAAGCCUGAUCCAGCCAUGCCGCGUGUGUGAAGAAGGUCUUCGGAUUGUAAAGCACUUUAAGUUGGGAGGAAGGGCAGUAAGUUAAUACCUUGCUGUUUUGACGUUACCGACAGAAUAAGCACCGGCUAACUUCGUGCCAGCAGCCGCGGUAAUACGAAGGGUGCAAGCGUUAAUCGGAAUUACUGGGCGUAAAGCGCGCGUAGGUGGUUCGUUAAGUUGGAUGUGAAAGCCCCGGGCUCAACCUGGGAACUGCAUCCAAAACUGGCGAGCUAGAGUAUGGCAGAGGGUGGUGGAAUUUCCUGUGUAGCGGUGAAAUGCGUAGAUAUAGGAAGGAACACCAGUGGCGAAGGCGACCACCUGGGCUAAUACUGACACUGAGGUGCGAAAGCGUGGGGAGCAAACAGGAUUAGAUACCCCGGUAGUCCACGCCGUAAACGAUGUCGACUAGCCGUUGGGAUCCUUGAGAUCUUAGUGGCGCAGCUAACGCAUUAAGUCGACCGCCUGGGGAGUACGGCCGCAAGGUUAAAACUCAAAUG